AUUGAACGCUGGCGGCAGGCCUAACACAUGCAAGUCGAACGGUAACAGGAAGCAGCUUGCUGCUUCGCUGACGAGUGGCGGACGGGUGAGUAAUGUCUGGGAAGCUGCCUGAUGGAGGGGGAUAACUACUGGAAACGGUAGCUAAUACCGCAUAAUGUCGCAAGACCAAAGAGGGGGACCUUCGGGCCUCUUGCCAUCGGAUGUGCCCAGAUGGGAUUAGCUUGUUGGUGGGGUAACGGCUCACCAAGGCGACGAUCCCUAGCGGGUCUGAGAGGAUGACAAGCCACACUGGAACGGAGACACGGUCCAGACUCCUAAGGGAGGCAGCAGUGGGGAAUAUUGCACAAUGGGCGCAAGCCUGAUGCAGCCAUGCCGCGUGUAUGAAGAAGGCCUUCGGGUUGUAAAGUACUUUCAGCGGGGAGGAAGGGAGUAAAGUUAAUACCUUUGCUCAUUGACGUUAACCGCAGAAGAAGCACCGGCUAACUACGUG
rnacentral:rRNA from 1 species